GACGAACGCUGGCGGCGUGCUUAACACAUGCAAGUCGAACGGAAAGGCCCUUCUUUUGUGGGGUGCUCGAGUGGCGAACGGGUGAGUAACACGUGAGUAACCUGCCCUUGACUUUGGGAUAACUUCAGGAAACUGGGGCUAAUACCGGAUAGGAGCUCCUGCCGCAUGGUGGGGGUUGGAAAGUUUCGGCGGUUGGGGAUGGACUCGCGGCUUAUCAGCUUGUUGGUGGGGUAGUGGCUUACCAAGGCUUUGACGGGUAGCCGGCCUGAGAGGGUGACCGGCCACAUUGGGACUGAGAUACGGCCCAGACUCCUACGGGAGGCAGCAGUGGGGAAUAUUGCACAAUGGGCGGAAGCCUGAUGCAGCAACGCCGCGUGCGGGAUGACGGCCUUCGGGUUGUAAACCGCUUUCGCCUGUGACGAAGCGUGAGUGACGGUAAUGGGUAAAGAAGCACCGGCUAACUACGUG
rnacentral:rRNA from 1 species